CGCCUGGGGAGUACGGCCGCAAGGUUAAAACUCAAAUGAAUUGACGGGGGCCCGCACAAGCGGUGGAGCAUGUGGUUUAAUUCGACGCAACGCGAAGAACCUUAUCUGGCCUUGACAUGCAGAGAACUUUCCAGAGAUGGAUUGGUGCCUUCGGGAACUCUGACACAGGUGCUGCAUGGCCGUCGUCAGCUCGUGUCGUGAGAUGUUGGGUUAAGUCCCGUAACGAGCGCAACCCCUAUCCCUAGUUGCUAGCAGUUCGGCUGAGAACUCUAGGGAGACUGCCGGUGACGAACCGGAGGAAGGUGGGGAUGACGUCAGGUCAUCAUGGCCCUUACGGCCAGGGCUACACACGUGCUACAAUGGCGCGCACAGAGGGCUGCAGACCCGCGAGGGGGAGCCAAUCUCACAAAACGCGUCGUAGUCCGGAUCGCAGUCUGCAACUCGACUGCGUGAAGUCGGAAUCGCUAGUAAUCGUGAAUCAGAAUGUCACGGUGAAUACGUUCCCGGGCCUUGUACACACCGCCCGUCACACCAUGGGAGUGGACUGCACCAGAAGUGGUUAGUCUAACCUUCGGGAGGACGAUCACCACGGUGUGGUUCAUGACUGGGGUGAAGUCGUAACAAGGUAACCGUA
rnacentral:rRNA from 1 species